UGAGGAAUAUUGGUCAAUGGACGAGAGUCUGAACCAGCCAAGUCGCGUGAAGGAUGAAGGUUCUAUGGAUUGUAAACUUCUUUUGUACAGGGGUAGAACACUCUACGUGUAGAGUCUUGCAAGUACUGUACGAAUAAGCAUCGGCUAACUCCGUGCCAGCAGCCGCGGUAAUAAUCA
rnacentral:rRNA from 1 species